CCCGCUGAACUUAAGCAUAUCAAUAAGCGGAGGAAAAGAAACCAACAGGGAUUGCCCUAGUAACGGCGAGUGAAGCGGCAACAGCUCAAACUUGAAAUCUGGCUCUUUUAGGGUCCGAGUUGUAAUUUGUAGAGGGUGCUUUGGCGUUGGCUGUGGUCUAAGUUCCUUGGAACAGGACGUCGCAGAGGGUGAGAAUCCCGUAUGUGGCCGCCAGUCUUCGCCGUGUAAAGCCCCUUCGACGAGUCGAGUUGUUUGGGAAUGCAGCUCUAAAUGGGAGGUAAAUUUCUUCUAAAGCUAAAUAUUGGCCAGAGACCGAUAGCGCACAAGUAGAGUGAUCGAAAGAUGAAAAGCACUUUGGAAAGAGAGUCAAAAAGCACGUGAAAUUGUUGAAAGGGAAGCGCUUGCAGCCAGACUUGCUUGUAGUUGUUUAGCUAGGCUUUUGCCUGGUGUACUCUUCUGCAUGCAGGCCAGCAUCAGUCCGGGCGGUUGGAUAAAUUCCUGCUAAAUGUACCUCGCUUCGGGGAGGACUUAUGGGGUAGGCGUCAUACAACCAGCCUGGAUUGAGGUCCGCGCAUCUGCUAGGAUGCUGGCGUAAUGGCUGUAAGCGGCCCGUCUUGAAACACGG
rnacentral:rRNA from 1 species